GAGUGGAAGCUGCCUUGACAAGGAAAGACCCUUUCCUUGAAGAGCCAAAUUGUGGUUUAGCUCCAAGAAUCUGCCUUGCAGUCUCAACUGAGUAGGUGAGGGACGAUGAUACAAGCGCAUGUGCUGCCAUCUUUGCAACCGAAAGACCUUUGCCUUGCCUUGUUUUCGAUGUGGGGAAACAGGACAUUUUAUGAGAGACUGUCCUUUGAGGGU